ensembl:lncRNA
UCACAACAUAAAAUCAAGAAGGCAAAACGGAGAGAGGUUUUUUUUUCACAGCUCUAGUGUUUGCCCUCUCUCCACCACUUAUGCUGCUUUGGUGUCUACUUUAAAAGGUGGAAGUAUUCAUUAGCAGCUCUGCAGUUCUCCUGAAGAAAAGACCGGAUCCUACCGUAUCUAAUGGCUCUGAAUCAGUGUGGCUGAAAUCCCUGCUCGGAGACAAAAAUGGAAAUGCUCUCCCUGCAAUCACAGCCUUUCAUCCAGCCCACUAGGAAAUAUCGUGUCUAUUAGCCAUUAGCUGAUCUGAUAUCCUGGUUUAGACAGCUCAGGCGUCUCUCUGUGUGGCUGUUUGGAGGGAGACUGAAGAGAUUGCAGGCUUCGACCCAUGUGUCUGUUGAUUGACUCAAAUCAACCAAACUGUGG